AGGUUGAACGCUGGCGGCAUGCCUAACACAUGCAAGUCGAACGGGAGUAGCAAUACUCUAGUGGCGGACGGGUGAGGAAUACGUAGGAAUUUGCCCUUAAGUGGGGGAUAACCCGGGGAAACCCGGAUUAAUACCGCAUGACCUCGAAAGAGCAAAGUGGGGGAUCGCAAGACCUCACGCUUUUGGAGAAGCCUACGUCGGAUUAGCUAGUUGGUAGAGGUAAUGGACUCACCAAGGCGACGAUCCGUAACUGGGUCUGACGAGGAUGGAUCGAGUCAC
rnacentral:rRNA from 1 species